AACGAACGCUGGCGGCAUGCCUAACACAUGCAAGUCGAACGAGACCUUCGGGUCUAGUUGCGCACGGGUGCGUAACGCGUGGGAACCUGCCCUUAGGUUCGGAAUAACUCCCCGAAAUGGGUGCUAAUACCGGAUAAUGUCUUCGGACCAAAGAUUUAUCGCCUUUGGAUGGGCCCGCGUUGGAUUAGCUAGUUGGUAGGGUAAAAGCCUACCAAGGCGACGAUCCAUAGCUGGUCUGAGAGGAUGAUCAGCCACACUGGGACUGAGACACGGCCCAGACUCCUACGGGAGGCAGCAGUGGGGAAUAUUGGACAAUGGGCGAAAGCCUGAUCCAGCAAUGCCGCGUGAGUGAUGAAGGCCUUAGGGUUGUAAAGCUCUUUUACCCGGGAUGAUAAUGACAGUACCGGGAGAAUAAGCUCCGGCUAACUCCGUG
rnacentral:rRNA from 1 species